UACGGAGGGGGCUAGCGUUGUUCGGAAUUACUGGGCGUAAAGCGUGCGUAGACGGUUAUGUAAGUCGGGUGUGAAAGCCCCGGGCUCAACCUGGGAAUGCCAUUCGAGACUGCAUAGCUAGGGUGCGGAAGAGGGAAGCGGAAUUUCCGGUGUAGCGGUGAAAUGCGUAGAUAUCGGAAGGAACACCAGUGGCGAAAGCGGCUUCCUGGUCCAGCACCGACGUUCAGGCACGAAAGCGUGGGGAGCAAACAGG
rnacentral:rRNA from 1 species